rnacentral:piRNA from 1 species
UAGGUGUUUCCCAGUGCACAAGGCCAAGAU